CUCAUUCUUGCAGAAUAGAUCAAACUCACCUUUGCAAAAUUCCAAACCGUUAUCUGUUCGAAAGCGCUUGAUCCUUUUCCCUGUCUGCUUCUCGAUCAAUGCCUUCCAUUGCAAAAAGGAGAAGGACCCCAUAAAUUUGAGUGGAUGUAGUCUACUGUACUCUUGGUUCGAUGUGUAGCAAUGCUAAAUUUCACUCGGUGUUGUUUGCCAUA